UACGGAGGGUGCGAGCGUUGUCCGGAAUCACUGGGCGUAAAGGGCGCGUAGGCGGUUGGGGUAGUCCGUGGUGAAAGCUCGUGGCUCAACUACGAGUCGGCCAUGGAUACUCCUCGACUUGAGCACUGUAGAGGCAGGUGGAGUUCCGGGUGUAGCGGUGGAAUGCGUAGAGAUCCGGAAGAACACCGGUGGCGAAGGCGGCCUGCUGGGCAGUAGCUGACGCUGAGGCGCGACAGCGUGGGGAGCAAACAGG
rnacentral:rRNA from 1 species